rnacentral:rRNA from 1 species
CACGUAGUUAGCCGUGGCUUUCUGAUUAGGUACCGUCAAGAUGUGCACAGUUACUUACACAUUUGUUCUUCCCUAAUAACAGAGUUUUACGAGCCGAAACCCUUCAUCACUCACGCGGCGUUGCUCCGUCAGGCUUUCGCCCAUUGCGGAAGAUUCCCUACUGCUGCCUCCCGUAGGAAUCUGGACCGUGUCUCAGUUCCAGUGUGGCCGAUCACCCUCUCAGGUCGGCUACGUAUCGUCGCCUUGGUAAGCCGUUACCUUACCAACUAGCUAAUACGGCGCGGGUCCAUCUAUAAGUGAUAGCAAAACCAUCUUUCACUUUAGAACCAUGCGGUUCUAAAUGUUAUCCGGUAUUAGCUCCGGUUUCCCGAAGUUAUCCCAGUCUUAUAGGUAGGUUACCCACGUGUUACUCACCCGUCCGCCGCUAACUUCAAAGGAGCAAGCUCCUUAUCUGUUCGCUCGACUUGCAUGUAUUAGGCACGCCGCCAGCGUUCAUCCUGAGCCAGGAUCAAACUCU